AAUCGCUAUUGACCCACCAUUAGCGGUAGGUACAUUACGGGGACACCAGUGAGGAGAGGUUACGGUAGAAACCGUAAGGUUACGGUAAUAACCGUUACUCCGCCCUCUACAUCCAACAUGGCUACUGUAAUAACAAAAAGCAACGAUGAAGCUGAUAAAAUGAUUUUACAACUUGAAACUUAUAACAGUGGCCGAUUUGUGGCAAGGAAAAAUAAGAAGAAUGGUGUAAGCUGGGCUACGAGCUCUGGACUGAUCAGUUAAUGCGCAUAUGAUGAGGCUUUAGAAAAAAUGGAAGGAAAUAUCUAGCCGUACAGCUAGCCAGAAGUCCAAGCCAUAUAGAGCUGAACAAGUUUGGUUGAAAAUCAUUGAUGAUUUUAGCAAUUGUCAUCAAAGAACUUCUGCUUACUGUUAAGUUUGAUUAUGAAACUAUCAACUAACCACUUCUAAAACAAAUUGCUUAUUUGUGGAUUUUAGGAUUUCUAGGUCUGGUUGGGUAUACAGUAUGGAAGUUCUAUAUUAAGCGGAUGUGAAAAACCAAAUCAAGGGUAAUGGAUGACACCAUCAAUGAAACAGAGCAGAAAUAUAGCACAACUCUAACAAUAAUGACAAUAGUGUACACAAACACAAGAAAUGGAUCAGCUUGAAAUUAAUGGAUUUUUAGCAGUUUUAGAUUUUUUUAAGUUACAGUUUGUUUCAUAAUUAUGUAAAUGAUGUUUUAAAUAUUAGUCAGAACUGCUUCAUUCCAUUGUUAUAAGGUAUAUGUUGUAAAAUUUUGCUAUUGUCAAAUUUGUUACCUGUUUAAAUAACUCUAAUUAUCACAUAAACCACGGCACAUGAGUGUAAUAAAGCCAUUUAAUAAAUAGAGGAUAU